rnacentral:rRNA from 1 species
CAAGUCGAACGCGAAAGUUCCCUUCGGGGAACAAGUAGAGUGGCGCACGGGUGAGUAACACGUAGGUAAUCUACCUUUGGAUGGGGAAUAACAACCGGAAACGGUUGCUAAUACCGCAUAAUGCAGCGGCACCUAAUGGUGACAGUUGUUAAAGCGGGGGAUCGAAAGACCUCGCGUCUGAAGAGGAGCCUGCGGCGGAUUAGCUAGUUGGUAAGGUAAUGGCUUACCAAGGCGAUGAUCCGUAACCGGCCUGAGAGGGCGGUCGGUCACACUGACACUGACAUACGGGUCAGACUCCUACGGGAGGCAGCAGUCGGGAAUUUUGGGCAAUGGGCGAAAGCCUGACCCAGCAACGCCGCGUGAAGGAUGAAAUCCCUCGGGAUGUAAACUUCGCAAGAACGGGAAGAAUAAGUUGGUGUGAAUAUCACCAGCGAUGACGGUACCGUUUGUAAGCUCCGGCUAACUCCGUGCCAGCAGCCGCGGUAAUACGGGGGGAGCAAGCGUUGUUCGGAUUUACUGGGCGUAAAGGGCGCGUAGGCGGCCACUGCAAGUCGGUUGUGAAAUCUCCGGGCUUAACCCGGAAAGGUCAAUCGAUACUGCAGGGCUAGAGUGCAGAAGGGGCAACUGGAAUUCUCGGUGUAGCGGUGAAAUGCGUAGAUAUCGAGAGGAACACCUGCGGCGAAGGCGGGUUGCUGGGCUGACACUGACGCUGAAGCGCGAAAGCUAGGGGAGCGAACGGGAUUAGAUACCCCGGUAGUCCUAGCCUUAAACGAUGAAUGCUUGGUGUCUGGGGUUUUAUAGUCCCCGGGUGCCGUC